AGUAGGGAAUAUUGGACAAUGGGCGCAAGCCUGAUCCAGCCAUCCCGCGUGAAGGAUUAAGGUCCUAUGGAUUGUAAACUUCUUUUCUCUGGGAAUAAAAACCGGUAUUUAUACUGGCUUGAAGGUACCAGAGGAAUAAGCACCGGCUAACUCCGUGCCAGCAGCCGCGGUAAUACGGAGGGUGCAAGCGUUAUCCGGAUUCACUGGGUUUAAAGGGUGCGUAGGUGGCUUUGUAAGUCAGUGGUGAAAGCCCGGAGCUCAACUCCGGAACUGCCAUUGAUACUGCUUAGCUUGAAUCAGGUAGAGGUGGAUGGAAUAAUACAUGUAGCGGUGAAAUGCUUAGAUAUGUAUUAGAACACCGAUUGCGAAGGCAGUUCACUAUGCCUGCAUUGACACUGAGGCACGAAAGCGUGGGGAUCAAACAGGAUUAGAUACCCUGGUAGUCCACGCCCUAAACGAUGUAAACUCGACAUUAGCGAUAUACUGUCAGUGUCCAAGCGAAAGCGUUAAGUUUACCACCUGGGAAGUACGACCGCAAGGUUGAAACUC
rnacentral:rRNA from 1 species